AGAGUUUGAUCCUGGCUCAGGACGAACGCUGGCGGCGUGCUUAACACAUGCAAGUCGAACGAUGAAGCCCAGCUUGCUGGGUGGAUUAGUGGCGAACGGGUGAGUAACACGUGAGUAACCUGCCCUUGACUCUGGGAUAAGCGUUGGAAACGACGUCUAAUACCGGAUACGAGCUUCCACCGCAUGGUGAGUUGCUGGAAAGAAUUUUGGUCAAGGAUGGACUCGCGGCCUAUCAGCUUGUUGGUGAGGUAAUGGCUCACCAAGGCGACGACGGGUAGCCGGCCUGAGAGGGUGACCGGCCACACUGGGACUGAGACACGGCCCAGACUCCUACGGGAGGCAGCAGUGGGGAAUAUUGCACAAUGGGCGAAAGCCUGAUGCAGCAACGCCGCGUGAGGGACGACGGCCUUCGGGUUGUAAACCUCUUUUAGCAGGGAAGAAGCGAAAGUGACGGUACCUGCAGAAAAAGCACCGGCUAACUACGUGCCAGCAGCCGCGGUAAUACGUAGGGUGCAAGCGUUGUCCGGAAUUAUUGGGCGUAAAGAGCUCGUAGGCGGUUUGUCGCGUCUGCUGUGAAAUCCCGAGGCUCAACCUCGGGUCUGCAGUGGGUACGGGCAGACUAGAGUGCGGUAGGGGAGAUUGGAAUUCCUGGUGUAGCGGUGGAAUGCGCAGAUAUCAGGAGGAACACCGAUGGCGAAGGCAGAUCUCUGGGCCGCUACUGACGCUGAGGAGCGAAAGGGUGGGGAGCAAACAGGCUUAGAUACCCUGGUAGUCCACCCCGUAAACGUUGGGCGCUAGAUGUGGGGACCAUUCCACGGUUUCCGUGUCGUAGCUAACGCAUUAAGCGCCCCGCCUGGGGAGUACGGCCGCAAGGCUAAAACUCAAAGGAAUUGACGGGGGCCCGCACAAGCGGCGGAGCAUGCGGAUUAAUUCGAUGCAACGCGAAGAACCUUACCAAGGCUUGACAUAUACGAGAACGGGCCAGAAAUGGUCAACUCUUUGGACACUCGUAAACAGGUGGUGCAUGGUUGUCGUCAGCUCGUGUCGUGAGAUGUUGGGUUAAGUCCCGCAACGAGCGCAACCCUCGUUCUAUGUUGCCAGCACGUAAUGGUGGGAACUCAUGGGAUACUGCCGGGGUCAACUCGGAGGAAGGUGGGGUGACGUCCAAAUCAUCAUGCCCCUUAUUUCUUGGGCUUCACGCAUGCUACAAUGGCCAGUACAAAGGGCUGCAAUACCGUAAGGUGGAGCGAAUCCCAAAAAGCUGGUCCCAGUUCGGAUUGAGGUCUGCAACUCGACCUCAUGAAGUCGGAGUCGCUAGUAAUCGCAGAUCAGCAACGCUGCGGUGAAUACGUUCCCGGGCCUUGUACACACCGCCCGUCAAGUCAUGAAAGUCGGUAACACCCGAAGCCAGUGGCCUAACC
rnacentral:rRNA from 1 species